GUUUCUUUUCCCGUUCCCAACAAUCUAGGAAGUAGUAACAGUUGCUGUAUCAGUAAAUGUACAUGUAAGCCUAAUCAUAAGACUUAUUAAUUAUGUACUUAUGAGUUCAGGUAGUAAUAUUUUUGCCCUCUUUUUCAGGCCUGUUUUAUUGGUUUCAGCACAGCACAACCGACUUGCUACUUCUGGUAUAGCUCAAACCUAUUGUAUGCCCUUGGCUUUUGCCCCCGACCACAAAUAUAAAGGUAAUAUGCCUGGACUUGAGGGAGGGGGUUUGCCGGCCUACAUCUACAUACCUCCCAACUUCCUCCUGAUGUUCGGCCGACGUUUUGGAACCUCACCCAUCUCUUCCUCAUUAUAUUAUUUCAAUAGGUCGGCCCUCUUUGUCAGACCUACCCGUUUGUCGGUUUCGGAACACCACAAACAAACUUGCUAUUACUGAUAUAGCUCAAACUUAUUGUAUGCCCAUGGCCUUGGAACCCGACCAC